rnacentral:rRNA from 1 species
GCGAGUCUUUGUAGUAAUACAAGGCAGACGGCUCAGUAACACGUAGUCAACCUACCCUAUGGACGAGAAUAAUCUCGGGAAACUGAGCAUAAUUCUUGAUAGAUCAUAAUGCCUGGAAUGGUUUAUGGUUAAAAUGAUUCGUCGCCAUAGGAUGGGACUGCGGCCUAUCAGCUUGUUGGUGAGGUAAUGGCCCACCAAGGCGAUUACAGGUACGGGCUCUGAGAGGAGAAGCCCGGAGAUGGGUACUGAGACACGGACCCAGGCCCUAUGGGGCGCAGCAGGCGAGAAAACUUUGCAAUGUGCGAAAGCACGACAAGGUUAAUCCGAGUGAUUUCUGCUAAAGAAAUCUUUUGCCAGUCGUAAAACCGCUGGUGAAUAAGGGGUGGGCAAGUUCUGGUGUCAGCCGCCGCGGUAAAACCAGCACCUCAAGUGGUCAGGAUGAUUAUUGGGCCUAAAGCAUCCGUAGCCGGCUUUGUAAGUUUUCGGUUAAAUCCAUGUGCUCAACGCAUGGGCUGCCGAAAAUACUGCAUAGCUAGGGAGUGGAAGAGGUAGACGGUACUCGGGAGGAAGUGGUAAAAUGCUUUGAUCUCUCGAUGACCACCUGUGGCGAAGGCGGUCUACCAGAACACGUCCGACGGUGAGGGAUGAAAGCUGGGGGAGCAAGCCGGAUUAGAUACCUGGGUAGUCCCAGCUGUAAACUAUGUAAACUCAGUGAUGCAUUGGCUUGUG